rnacentral:lncRNA from 1 species
CUGGUUCACAGAUAUGCUUAGAACUCAAUUCAAAAGUCCUUUAUUAACAAAUUCCACUGUUGUUUCAAACUGUAAAAAUAUCUAUUUAAAGAUAACAUUCUUUUCAGAAGAUUAUACGGUACAGUUGAUUUUCCCCUCUUUUAGCCUCAGUGUGUCUCGACACAAGCACUACUACACCAAAAAAAUAUAGACAAGUUAUUUAUAGUAGCGUCUGUGGUUAGACUCUUGUGUAGUAUUUCUAUGAUUCAUACUUUUGUCAACUGUUUUACUUAGGUAAAAAUAUUCUCCACAAGUACACUUAAACAAUAUAUUAAAAUUGUUUUUUUUUUUAGCUUUUAAUACAAAUACAGUAUUUCCUUCUAUAAUACACUGUCCCCCUCCUUUAAAUUCCCAGUGUGAAGGCCAGUUGUUGAAAUAGAUGACCACUGAUCAAAAGUCAUUUAAGGACACCAUCAGUCUGGUGAGACUGGACAAUAAAAUAUCAAUUACAUGCUUAAAUGACCACUCAAUGAUGGCCAGUUAAGGUUACGACCUGACCUAAUUCGACCUAUGGUGUGCCUAGUGACCCAAGAAGCUUAAAUACACCUUGGCUUAAUUCAUAUAGAUAUGUGUAAACCGCCACUCAGCAGUUUAUAUAGGGGUUCAAAGAAGGGACAAUAAUAGAUUCUCAAUUACAGAAAAAAAUGUGAAUUUGUCAAUACUACAAUUACUGGAUGAUUCAUACUCCAAUCAAUAAAGCAUUCUAUGGUCAGCUGGUGGUUAGGUUAUGCUAUUGUUUAAUAACUCCUCCGCUACCGAUAUUAAUCAAAACUAAUGUAUUGGUUAAACAGCCAAUUAACCAAGAUCAUCAAAUA